rnacentral:misc_RNA from 1 species
GAAUUAAAGAAGCCAUGUUAUAGGUAAUUCUUCACAACUUCAGUUUGGCAUUUUACUUUUGUUGGGAGAUUUGGAAUGUAUUCACAAUUUUACAAAAUAGGAUCCUUUAAUCUCCAUGUGUGGAGAGGUUAGUUUAGAAUUUGCAUUUAUUUACCUUCACUUUCUUACUUUAUCAAAGCUAGCUCUUUCUUGUAUUGUCAAAUACAUCCCUCUAUUACUCUCUCCCAUUAUUUUCCAUUUCAGUUUCCUUCUCUUUCUCUCUCUAAAUUCCAUUCUUUGUCUAUGAUCUCUCUAUAGAUUGUUGUAAGCAGUGUUCAGUUGUCAAAGCAAAGCUUGGAGACUGAUCUAUCACAAACUUCAAACUAUAGAGAGAUCCCUCUAUUACUCACACAUACCACUUGAGGUUAAUUUUUUCUUUUCUUCAUUUUUUUAUUCACUAUUCCUAUGUGUGUGGGUUUUUAAAAUUUUCUUUUGAGUGGUAAAAUGAUGAUAAAAGCCAAUUUUAAUAGAGGGAUGUGAU